GUUCACGUCACUUAAUUUAAAGUUUGAUACUGAAGACAUCAAAAUAGGUCUAAAUAGGCCUCGUAAACA
rnacentral:tRNA from 1 species